GUGCUUGCCUGGGCAGCGCAUAUACCAAUACUGGAAGGAUACAGAGAAGAUCAGCUGAUCCCUGUGCCAGGGUGACACGCAAUUCCAGGAUUCCGUUUUAAAGAUUUUU